CGAAAUUUCAAACAAAAAGAAGCCAUGGAUGCUGGAAAAUUUCAGCUAGUCAAAUUCCUUGCAUGUAAGCCCCUAAACUAUCAGUUUCUUGUAAUUUUUAUGUUUUUGAUAUCGUUGCAACUAGGUCCAGCUAGUCUUACCUUUGAUUUUGAAACUGUUAAAGAUUCUGAAUGUUGCCAUUGAUGAAUCUUGUGAUUUUUUAUGUUAUAUGAUGAAUUUGGAAUGUUGAUUUGUAUUUAAGAGUAUUUUGUUAAAUGAUUUUGAUGAAUUUUUUUAUUAGGGACUAAUUUGUUAAAUUAAUAAAAGUAUAAGGAUUUAAUGUGAAAUUGUUUCACAAAUGGGCUGUUUUGGAUACCAUGAACAUUCGGCUAAGCUCAAUUCUGGGUAAAAAUGGUUAUUUUUCAUGUUUUGGGCUCAAUGACUAAAUUGAAUAAAAGUAAAACUUUAGGGGCAAUUUUGUAAAGAUGUCAAAAAGACAAAAUUGUAUGAAAUGAAUUGUUUUAUUGUCUAAAUUAAUAUAUUGAAUGAAAUUAUUAAUUUGGAUCAAGAUCGAGUGGAAAAUAGAGGGAAAUAAAAAAUUACCAAAAUGUCCCUAAACUUUGGUAUUUCUACAAUUUAGCCAGGUAAGUUCGUAGUCCUUGAACUCAAACUCUAUUUAUUUAAUUUAAAUACUUAAUCAUUACUUUGAUAUAUUAAUUAUAUUUACAUAUAUGCAAAUGAUUAAAUUAUGAGAUGAGAAAUUGUGUAUUAUGCAUAUAUAUGAAAUGUGACAUUAUGAAAUGAAUCAAUAAGCAAUUAGAAUUUAAAUCGAUAGUAUGGGAAUGCUAUAUAUGGAGAUAUAAUGUGGAAUGAUGAGAUUGAAGUUGAAUAAUGUUGGUUAAUGUAUGGAGUUAAAUAAAAUCUUGUGUUUACAUGCUAGGUAAGUUCGUAAUCUUGAAACUCGAAUGUCAUUUACUUAAUUUAAUUAGUUAAUUGUUAAUUAUUAUUUAAGUAUGUUUUUAUUUGUGUUUGGUUAAGUUCUAUUGAAUGGAUAUUGAUAAAAUCAUAAACAGAUAGAAUGUGACAUUAUGGAAUAAAUUAAUGAAUGGUUAAUAGAUAAUUGAAGUGAAUAUGAUAUUGAGUUGAUUAUUAGAUAAUUGAAGUGAAUGUUGAGUUAUGAAAUGCGAUAUUGAGAUUAUGAAAUGUGAUUUUAUGGACUUGCGAAUGAGUAAUUGAUAUUGUCGAUUCAUCCGACUAGAGCUGGGCUCACUAUUUAUUUCGUCGGUUUAUCCGACUAGCGCUGGGGGCAAAUAUCGAUGGUUUAUCCGACUAGAGUUGGGCUCACUAAUUAUUCAUCAGUAUAUCCAACUAGCGUUGAGCGCAACUUUCAUCAGUUUAUCUUACUAGUGCUGGGCAAACAUUUGUCGAUUUAUCCGACUAGCGCUGGGCGCAAACUCUUUUGUGGAUUAUCCGCUAGGCACCGGGUGUCUUGUAUCAACUGGACUAUACAGCAAGGUUUUAUGAAUCAUCUAAGAAGAAUGGUUAUAGGUAUUACUAAAAAAGAUUAUAUUUACUUAUCUAUAUACAAUUAUUCAUUAGAAGAUAUGAUAUAUUCUUGAGUUAGAUUAUUAAAGUUGUGAAAUAAAUUCAAAUGCUUUAGAUAUACUUGUGGUUUUUCGAAUAAGUGAAGUUUACUUAACGUGGAUUGGUUUGUGCCAUAAUAUAAGUAAAUUAUUGAUUGAUCUAUGCAAAGCUAUUUAUAUAGCAAGUGAUGUGAAUUGAGGUAUAUGUUUAAACCAACUAAAUGUGAAUACUUGUGAAAAUUGAGUAUAGCAUGAAUUAAGAUGAUAAAAUUCAUGAUAUUGAAAUGGUGAUAUCUUGUAAUUGUAUAUUUAGAUAGUAGUAUGAUAGUAUAAUUCAAUUUGAGCAUUCAUGUAUCAUAUCAUGUCUUAAAAUGUUCG
rnacentral:lncRNA from 1 species